GCCAAAUGUCCAAGAUCAACAACAGACAUAUUUGUUUCCACAUGAGAUUUGUGUGAGUUUAAAGUCACACCCUCAUUUUGAUUGCUUUUAUCCGCAUUGUUAGUUGCAGGGGCGGCGGGAAGUCGAUAAGGGGGCUGAUAUUCAUAUAUUCGUGUUCACAGACUGUAAAACAAUCUGUUCCAAAGGAAAUAAAUGAUGCAGAACAUGAAUAUAUGAAAGUCAGCCCCUCCCCAAUUAUUCACUUUCCUCCCCCCCUGGAUUGAGCAGUUUAUUGUUAUCAGCCAUGAGAUUUUGAAUUUGUUUCUCAAUCUCAUCAACACGAACAAAAUGAGAAACUACUUUCUCCUGUUCUUUAUGCAGUGAA